rnacentral:rRNA from 1 species
UGGGGAAUAUUGGACAAUGGGCGCAAGCCUGAUCCAGCCACGCCGCGUGGGUGAAGAAGGUUUUCGGAUCGUAAAACCCUUUUCUGUGUGACGAGCAAGGACGGUAGCACGGGAAUAAGUCUCGGCUAACUACGUGCCAGCAGCCGCGGUAAAACGUAGGAGACAAACGUUAUCCGGAGUUACUGGGCGUAAAGGGCGUGUAGGUGGUUUCGUAAGUCUGGCGUGAAAUUUGCCGGCUCAACCGAGAAAGGUCGUCGGAUACUGCGGAACUAGAGGACGGUAGAGGCGUGUGGAAUUCCGGGUGUAGUGGUGAAAUGCGUAGAGAUCCGGAGGAACACCAGUGGCGAAGGCGACACGCUGGGCCGUACCUGACGCUGAGGCGCGAAAGCCAGGGGAGCAAACGGGAUUAGAUACCCCGGUAGUCCCUGAGCGGGC